GAGGCACCACAUAAAGGAUUAUGUCACAGCAAGUAGUACGGGCGUGAGCGAUGCUGCGCUUUGCGGUGCUGCAACAUACAGUGCUCAUCUUGCUGACCACCAGUGAAAGAGGAACCCGAAGAGAGUUGGAAAUGGAGCAUCUCCUCUCUUAGUGCUAGAAGCCUGAAGCCCAAGGAGACAAAAAAUCCUCACCUUCCUGAAGUCCCCAAUCUGAGGAGUCAAUCAGGGAAUCCUCACACUGAAAUCAUGAAGAGUUUUGGAUGACAAUGUCAUGACUAAGUUAAGUUAUCUUUGAUUCUUUCUUCUCCCUCAUUCCACAACCCUCUCAGUUUCUAAGUGCAGUUUUAACCUACCCUUUGAUACCAUAUUGCCUAAAAGAUCUGGGGAGAAUUGCUGGGUGACAGUGGUAAUUUCCCCUAAUGAUUUCUUGCUUGCAUGUCUUAUGGACCAUAGACUGGAUAUUCCACAGUCAUCUCCUUGACAUGAGACUCAUGUCCCUAUCUGGGGUCAAUAGCUGACUCAUUAUGGACAUUCUCAGGCUGCCUCCAUGGUGGAGAAGCUGGGAAAGACUCUAAAUACUACAAAGUGCCAAAAAUUGGAAUGAAUGGGGAAACAUCAAAUAUCAAGAGAGUGACUUAGGGGAUAGGUUCUGGGAAGGAACUGGAAGGAAAGAUUUUAUUUGAUGAUCAGGGUAUGGGUUGGCUGUCAGAGAAAUUUGUCUAACUUAAGGGUAUAGACAGAGAUUGAGAAAAUCGAGAUCUUAAUAUACCUUCUCCUUUUAGCCACCCAUCAUCUCUCUCCAUGUCAUCCAUCACUGGGUGUGAAAACAUUAUUCUCUUCAGAAUUCAUAUAACUGGUGGCUUAAGACAAAAUCUAAAUGACUUAUAGGUGGAAUCCAAAUCUCACUGCUUGUGAUCAUGACCUGCUAGAGGACCACUUUGGAUAGGGACUAUAAUUCCUCAUUAGAACAGGGUCUCUCUAAGGACAAAACUCUCUCUCCCACUUGACUGAGGACUACUUCCCUAAGAGUGGGGCUUCCUGAUCAGAUCUAGCAUUUCUUUAAUUGAACCAACAGUUACAAAUGCCAGCUGUGCCUAUGGCACUGUGACAUACCACACUCUGGGUUUCCGGUCCUCACCACAG
rnacentral:lncRNA from 1 species